rnacentral:tRNA from 1 species
CACCAGAUAGCUCAGUUGGCAGGGCACCUGACUAGAGAUUCAGGGGCCUGGGUUCAAAUCUCUGUUAGGUCU